rnacentral:lncRNA from 1 species
CCUGGUCUCACAGGGGGUCUCUUGGGAAUGUUCCGGCAGCCUCCCUUUGAUGACAGCAUCCUUGGUGCAGACUCUGCUUUUCCUCCAGCUGCACAUUCUCCAUGCUUCCUGUAGCCCCUGAGCACACUUUGGUCCUCACCACAUUGACUCUUGUUCGGGCACCAUGAUCCCUAUAAGUGUUUACCAUGGGCACAAUCUCUUUAUAGAGAGCCCCAGGCCACCAUCUGUAUUCUAGGUUCCCACCAGCAUUUUGGUCCUGUUAUCAUGGGAGUUGAACUAUGUCCUAACACAGUCUCUCUCCUCUGCUAGCCCAAGGCAGUUAGCCCAGCCACAGCCUCUUGCCUUCUAUAUCUUUGAAGUUCUGAGGGCUGUGCCAGGUGGCUCCUUACCAGCCCCUUGGUUUGCUGGGAGAAGCAAGCUUCUCUCUUCUACCACAUUCUUCUCUCUCUCUUUCUCUCUCUCUGUCUUCCCUUCAGUCUCAACCUUUAAUAGGCUCAAGGUGGUUGAUGUGUUUAGAGUUGUAACAUGUGUUUUUAGAUAUCUCUUUUGCAUAUCCUGCAUGGAAGGCUUAG